GUGUGGAAACAAUUUACAAAUGGAUAUUUUCUUUCUGAUGUAACUUCUCGUCGUCUCGAAGUUGGUCACUAGAAUCAACAUUGUAUCAAGUUAUAAAACAACUGCUCUAAUAUUAUACGAGAUGGCCAUCAUUCGUAUGCUGUUCUCUUUGCUGAACAAUCCGAAAGUCAUUGAGAAACUAGCGGAGUCUCGUCCAAUCCGACGUGCUGCACAGAUCACAGCAUUUGCUAUAAUCAAAGCACAAAUUGCAGGAAGAAGCGCAACAGCCAAGGUUUUAAAAUCAGACACACUACGCCAGUUUCGACAGGAGGCAAACGGCAGGAUUCCCCGAGACGUCGGUGACAUUGGGACACGGUUGAGAAGAGUUAGGGAGACUUUUGUCAAGGAGGUGAAGGAUGGUGUCAGAGACGCUCAAAAGAGAAUAAAGAAAUAAAGAAACGAGAGCGUAAAAUAUAAUUGCUGUGAUUGAACUCCCACAGUAGAUAUGAGAAAUCUGUACUGUGUUUAUGACCCACGCCAUGAGCCCUCCUACAAAUGUGUAAGACGACUACUGUUAUCCAUAACUUCAGGGGCAAGUAUCUUGCACAUGUAAUGGAUGUUUGUCAGGUGGAUUUGCCUACUGCAACACCUCUGCUUGCUGGAGACAGAUUAUUUUCUUUCUACACAGUAGUAUUUAUUCAGGAAUGGUGUUUGUAUAAUAGAAUUGAAUAUUAUUCAUCAUACCAGACUUGAUGUACAGUUAUUUCAUGCAGCGCCAUGCUAGUUCUUAUGAAAUGGAUUGCCCUCAUCUGUUGGCCAAGUGUUAUUAUUUUGAAAUAAUAUUUGAAAUAAUAUUUAAUGCAUCUUAACAAUAAAGGAUAUUCAGAUGAAAAAAUGACUAACUAUUUAAGCGGCAAUAUUUAGUUGAAGCAAUAUCAAAGCAUUCUCCAGUCAUUGUUUGGUUAAACACUGGGGAUGGAGUCUUUGUAAUUUUGACCAUUCUCACAUCCAUCAAGAGUGUGAAGGCAGAAACCAACUGACCUUGAUAAAUAUUUACAGUUCGGAAAGUAUUUCACGUUUUCCACAUUUUGUUACGGUACAGCAUUAUUCUAAGACAGAUCAAAUUGACUUUUCCCCUCAUCAAUCUACAAACAGUACCCUAUAGUGACAUAAAAAAUAGAGAAAUUGUUGUAUGUAAUGUAUUAAAACAAAAACUGAAAUGUCACAUUUACACCCUUUGUGCUCAGGUUCCUCCUGUUUCCAUGGAUCAGCUUUAAAAUGUCCACCACUGGUAGAUUCAAUUGAUUGAUUUCUAAAGACACCUAUCUAAGGACCUAGAGUUGACAGUGCGUCAGAGCAAAAAUCAAGCCAAGAGGUCGACAGAAUUGUUUGUA